rnacentral:rRNA from 1 species
GACGAACGCUGGCGGCGUGCUUAACACAUGCAAGUCGAACGGAUUGCCGAACGGUUGGUUAACAGGUGGUUGCCCUGCCCUGCCCUUCGGGUUAAGCCUGGGAAAUUGGGUUUAAUACCGGAUAGUGUGGGUUGGGCCCGCGGCCUAUCAGCUUGUUGGUGGGGUAAUGGCCUACCAAGGCGGCGACGGGUAGCCGGCCUGAGAGGGUGGACGGCCACAUUGGGACUGAGACACGGCCCAGACUCCUACGGGAGGCAGCAGUGGGGAAUAUUGCACAAUGGGCGGAAGCCUGAUGCAGCGACGCCGCGGGGGGGAUGACGGCCUUCGGGUUGUAAACUCCUUUCACCAUCGACGCGGUAGAUGGAGAAGAAGCACCGGCUAACUACGUGCCAGCAGCCGCGGUAAUAC